CCUACGGGAGGCAGCAGUGAGGAAUAUUGGUCAAUGGGCGCGAGCCUGAACCAGCCAAGUCGCGUGAGGGAUGAAGGUUCUAUGGAUCGUAAACCUCUUUUAUAAGGGAAUAAAGUGUGGGACGUGUCCUAUUUUGUCUGUACCUUAUGAAUCAGGAUCGGCUAACUCCGUGCCAGCAGCCGCGGUAAUACGGAGGAUCCGAGCGUUAUCCGGAUUUAUUGGGUUUAAAGGGUGCGUAGGCGGCCUUUUAAGUCAGCGGUGAAAGUCUGUGGCUCAACCAUAGAAUUGCCGUUGAAACUGGGGGGCUUGAGUAUGUUUGAGGCAGGCGGAAUGCGUGGUGUAGCGGUGAAAGGCUUAGAUAUCACGCAGAACCCCGAUUGCGAAGGCAGCCUGACAAGCCAUGACUGACGCUGAUGCACGAAAGCGUGGGGAUCAAAGAGGAUUAGAUACCCGGGUAGUC
rnacentral:rRNA from 1 species